AGGAAGAAUUACCUCCAGCAAACGUUUAAUUGAAUGAAAAGCAUUUGACUCAUAGCUACACGCUUAUUUUUUUUUCCCAGUCUAGUACUGAAAAGGGAAUUUUAUCUUAACAUUUAAACUGUAGCAUAGGCCGAGCGUUCGCCAAUGAAGGAGGAAGGUCGCCAAUAGAGCGUGGACCCGAAAGAUUGCCUUCUACCCUUUGGGAGACCCCACAAACAUCGGCCUACCGUUUAUAUUUUCAGCGAGUUCUCAUUCUCGACCACUAAAGAAUGAGACCGCAGAAAGGAAUUAUAAAGAAACAAAACAUGGAACGAAAAUGUACUCGGAGCGCUGGCGCAGAAUGACAGAGGAGAAAUGAAUCAUUGAAUCACCCCAGGCCGGACAGCCGUUGUGGAUUGAAAGCACGUCUAAUGCAGAGAGGUGAAGUCGUUGUGUUGAACCAAACAAAACCAGGAUGAAGGUAUUGCCCAAAGGACUGCUAGGGAUUACAGUUGGAAGAAUCUCUUUGGUGGUUGGAAGGUUAAGUAAAUCUCAGAUAACUGAAUGAUCAACAGGGUUCUACGUCUGUAAAUACUGUAUUCCAAAAACGGGGAAGCAUAAGUGGCGCAUCUGGUAACACCGCUGCCUGCAUUCAAUCCUGACUGGCGUACGCAGUGCGUGAAGUUUGCACUUUCUCCCCGUGACUACGUGAGUUUCCCCUGGGUGCUCUGGCAAAAAAUAAAGACCCAAGGGAUGAUCAUUACAAGCUUCGCAUAGUGUGUGUUGUAGAAACUGGAGGAAGUUGAUGGGAAUGUGAGAAAAAUAAAAGAGAAUUAAUGAUCUUGCUAAUCAGCGCAAACACCAUAGGCCGAAUGGCCUACUUCCGUCCUGUAUGCUUCCAUUUCAUAAUAGACCCAGAGCUGAACAUAAGUUAGAAAACUUAGGACUUCUUUAUCUUCAACAAUAUAUGGACAACUAUCUUGUAAUAUUCUCUACAUUUUAGAAAAAGUAUAUUUAAUUAUAUUUUUCUUCAAACACCGUCGCAGAUAAUAAAUAGUUCGGUGUACAAUUUGUCUUCUAUCGAACUGGUUUUCAUUCCCAUUAUUAAACCAAUUGAGGCCGUUGGCUCUUGAGCUGAGGCAAACGACAAAUUAUUUUUCCGUUUUGCUUUUUUAAAAAUUUAAUGCGAUUAUCAAACGUUGCCCGAACCCUUAUAUUCUUUUCGCUAUCAUUUAGAGGUAAUUGGAUUGCAUUCCCCUGCUCAAAUUUUGUAAUCCAGGUGAAUAAAGAGAAAAUAUAGGUAUCAGUACUCUGCUACCUCCUGAUGAUAUUUGACACAUCUUCAACAAGACCAAAUCAUUCAUUUGUCAUUUCGAAAUUAAUGAGCUGCUACAAAUAAUGAUAUACAAAACUUAAUUGCGCGGAAGGUUUUUGAAACUGUAGGUCGCACACCUCAUGUCUGCUUUAUAACCUAAAGCAUCGGUUUGGUCUAACUCACACCUAAAAUGAAAACAACUGUUGGGAUAAUCAAUGAAUGCAUUUAAAAACACAAAUAAAUUUGUUUGAUCAUUUGAUAAUAGAAUGAAUGUGCCGGAAGAAAGUAAGUUACGAGAAUAGCCCUGCUGUGUGAACCUUUAACAGAUUUCUGAGCAAUGCCCAUACGAAAUGGUUAGAAAACUCGGGAAUGUAUCUAACAAUUUGUCUCAGCAAGUUGAAAGCAUGUUAAAAACAACGCCAAGUUGAAAUCAGCUUUAAAUGAUUUGUCGCACUCUACCAGUGUAUUUCAAAAAAGCUAAAAUAUUAGGAAGUUGAAUGCAAUUACGUGAAUUGGAAUUCUGAACCCACUGAAUAUUAGCAUAUUGCUAAUAAUAUGCUGAAAUAAAUACCUGGUUGUUAUUAAGGCUGAGCGCGUCACUAAUCUGAUUUGUAAACAUAAGGACUUCAAUAAAUUGUUUUGAGAAUGUGGCGCCUUGGUUCUAGUGAAAAACAGAUAAUCUCAUUUUAUUUGCAUGAAAGUUUAACAACUCACUUGCUGACAUCUGCUUCAUAUUCCCAUUACAGGUUAUACAUGGAAAGAAUCGUCAGAGAAAACAUGACAAUUAUCUCUGUCAUGGUAUUACAAAUGAAAUAUUCAUCCAGAGAAAAUUUCCAAAAAAGAAGCAGGCCGUACUGAUCAACACCCAGACUGUAAUAUUUAUGACUCUCAAAUAAAAGAACAAACAACU